rnacentral:rRNA from 1 species
CUAACUUCGUGCCAGCAGCCGCGGUAAUACGAAGGGUGCUAGCGUUGUUCGGAAUUACUGGGCGUAAAGCGCGCGUAGGCGGCUAUCCAAGUCAGAGGUGAAAGCCCUGGGCUCAACCCAGGAAUUGCCUUUGAAACUGUAUAGCUUGAGUGUCGGAGGGGAUAGCGGAAUUCCUAAUGUAGAGGUGAAAUUCGUAGAUAUUAGGAGGAACACCGGUGGCGAAGGCGGCUAUCUGGACGACAACUGACGCUGAGGCGCGAAAGCGCGGGGAUCAAACAGGAUUAGAUACCCUGGUAGUCCGCGCUGUAAACGAUGGGUGCUAGCUGUUGGGAGGUUACCUCUCAGUAGCGUAGCUAACGCGUUAAGCACCCCGCCUGGGGAGUACGGUCGCAAGAUUAAAACUCAAAGAAAUUGACGGGGACCCGCACAAGCGGUGGAACAUGUGGUUUAAUUCGAGGCAACGCGAAGAACCUUACCAGCUCUUGAC